rnacentral:rRNA from 1 species
GCUUAACACAUGCAAGUCGAGCGAGAAUCGUUUUGCUGAAGGCUUCGGUCUGACGCAGAAUGAGGAAAGCGGCGAACGGGUGAGUAACGCGUGGGCAACCUGGCCUUAAGAAAAGGAUAGCCCCCGGAAACGGGGAGUAAUACUUUAUGAGAAUGAAAGAGGGCAUCCUACUUUCAUUCAAAGCGCAAGCGCUUAAGGAUGGGCCCGCGUAUCCUUAGCUAGUUGGUGAGAUAACAGCCCACCAAGGCAACGAUGAUUAGCCGGUCUGAGAGGUCGAACGGCCACAUUGGAACUGAGAUACGGUCCAAACUCCUACGGGAGGCAGCAGUGGGGAAUAUUGCGCAAUGGAGAAGAACUCUGACGCAGCAAUACCGCGUGAGCGAAGAAGGUCUUCGGAUCGUAAAGCUCUGUUAUCAGGGAAGAAGAAAAUGACGGUACCUGAUGAGCAAGUCCCGGCUAACUGCGUGCCAGCCGCCGCCGUAA